UACGUAGGGUGCGAGCGUUAAUCGGAAUUACUGGGCGUAAAGCGUGCGCAGGCGGUUCGUUAAGACAGAUGUGAAAUCCCCGGGCUUAACCUGGGAACUGCAUUUGUGACUGGCGAGCUAGAGUAUGGCAGAAGGGGGUAGAAUUCCACGUGUAGCAGUGAAAUGCGUAGAGAUGUGGAGGAAUACCGAUGGCGAAGGCAGCCCCCUGGGCCAAUACUGACGCUCAUGCACGAAAGCGUGGGGAGCAAACAGG
rnacentral:rRNA from 1 species